rnacentral:rRNA from 1 species
UACGAAGGAUGCAAGCGUUAUCCGGAUUCACUGGGUUUAAAGGGUGUGCAGGUGGGGUAAUAAGUCAGUGGUGAAAGCCCCCCGACUCAAUCGGGGGAACUGCCAUAGAUACUGUUAUUCUUGAGUGUGGUUGAGGCGGAUGGAAUAUGACAUGUAGCGGUGAAAUGCUUAGAUAUGUCAUAGAACACCAAUCGCGAAGGCAGUCCGCCAAAACCAUUACUGACACUGAAAACACGAAAGUGCGGGGGAUCAAAACAGG